CAACGGAAAAUAAACGAGCUUACUGCUAAAAAAACCAACAACCUUUUCUUUAGUUUGCAAAAUAACCAACAUGGUUUUUAAUUUACAUGUUUAACCAAUGAACUUUAUUAAAUUAUGCAAAUAGUAACCAUGGUUAAGCUAAAAUCUGACACGUCUAUUUUUGCCAAAUCAGUGUUAUGACAUGGCAAGUGACUCCCGCAAAACCACUUGGUUUUAGUAUUCUGAUUUUUUUGACAUGAAUAAUUUCUUGAUACAAAGUGGACAAGCACCAAGUCAUGGUGGUGAAUCUUGGACUCCGAUCCUGCUAUUAUCUGAAGAUAUUUUGUGAUACUUUUGUCAACUUUGCUCGGUACUAAUUUAAAAUUUAAAAUUUAUUUACUGAAUUUAAAGCACUCCUAGCACUAAUUUUUGAUAAUUUAUAGCUCUCUAAAGUCUAAACCUGUUACAAAAAUUAAAAUGAAAUUUAAAAAAUUAAAACGAAAUUUAAAAAAAAUAAGAUGAAAUUAAAAAAAAUGAAAUUAAGAAAAUUAAAAUGAAACUAAAAAAAAUUAAAAUGAAAUUUAAGCUGCAAGAUAACCGGCAAAUUUAUAUACUAUUCAUAUUUAAGUCUGCCACGUGGACUAACUAAUUUAAAGUUGGGUGUGCCACGUCAGCCUUGGUUAACCAUGGUUAAUUUUAUAAUCUUUUUUUCGCAUAAUUUAAUAAAGUUCACUGGUUAAACAAGUGAAUUAAUAACCAUAUUGGUUAUUUUGCAAACUAAAGAAAAAGUCGUUGGUUUUUUUGGCAGUAAGCUCGUACUUAGGCUAUUUGAUUCUCCAACAAAUGAUAUUUAGAAACUUCAAAAUUUAGAAAGAAUUUUUUUUGUGUAUUUGUUCAUACACAGCAUAAUGGUUUGUAUUGCUACAUAUUAAGCAUCUGAUAGUUAGUAAAUCAGCAGAUUGAGCAAAUUGCAAAUUGUUUUGCUUGUUGGUUGGU
rnacentral:lncRNA from 1 species